rnacentral:lncRNA from 1 species
UCCCACUCUGUCUGCACCGGGCCUCGCCUGUGGAACUCAACACUCUUGUUUAACAUUCACUCAAGCCAAUGCAAAAUCCAAACUAUGCAACUUUGUCACUUUAGGAAGAAAAAAAGAGAAAGGUGGAAGAGGCAGAGAAAGGAGUAAGAGAAGCGACAGAAGGAAGAGAGUAAGCGAGAGAAGGGCAUGAUCUCGUUGGACAUCAUAUUGCUGGUCUGUUCAAGGAAGAUGCGGGACCAAGGUUUGGAACCAGGCUGUUGGCAGACUGUAGGAACCGGGCAGCUAUCUGUGAAUCCAGAAAGAGAAACGGGGUAACAAAUCAAGUCUUCAAAGAGCAAAGCCGAUUUCAACGACUGAAGGUAAUUUCUGUUCUCUAAAGAGGAAAAAAUAGGAUUUGAUAAAUGCUCUCCA